CUCUCUCAAACCUUUGGGUUUGGUAUUGAGUGAUACUCUUAGUCGAACUAGGCGUUUGCUUGAAAAGUAUUGGCAUGAGUGUGCUGGAUAGUACGUUCUGAUUAUUCAAUGUAUUAGGUUUAUCCAACUCGUUGAAGGAUCAGGUGUAAAUUUCUGGUUACAUUGGCUCGGCCUUACAACAACAAACAA
rnacentral:misc_RNA from 1 species